CAAAAAUUGAAAAAGAUGCAGAGCAUGUACAAAAUAAUAUUAUUAUUGUAAUAUCACCUAGUAGUAUUUGAGAUAUACCGUGGUGUACAUUAUUUUGUACAUGCUCUGCAUCUUUUUCAAUUUUUG
rnacentral:miRNA from 1 species